AUUGAAUGCUGGCGGCAUGCCUUACACAUGCAAGUCGAACGGCAGCACGGGUGCUUGCACCUGGUGGCGAGUGGCGAACGGGUGAGUAAUACAUCGGAACGUACCUUAUCGUGGUGGAUAACGCAGCGAAAGCUGUGCUAAUACCGCAUACGCCCUGAGGGGGAAAGCGGGGGAUCGAAAGACCUCGCGCGAUUAGAGCGGCCGAUGCCUGAUUAGCUUGUUGGUGGGGUAAAAGCCCACCAAGGCGACGAUCAGUAGCUGGUCGGAGAGGACGAUCAGCCACACUGGGACUGAGACACGGCCCAGACUCCUACGGGAGGCAGCAGUGGGGAAUUUUGGACAAUGGGGGCAACCCUGAUCCAGCAAUGCCGCGUGAGUGAAGAAGGCCUUCGGGUUGUAAAGCUCUUUUGUCAGGGAAGAAACACCGGCUCUAAUACCGCUGGGGGAUGACAGUACCUGAAGAAUAAGCACCGGCUAACUACGUGCCAGCCGCCGCAGUAAGAC
rnacentral:rRNA from 1 species